AUUAACGGCUGCGGCAUGCCUUACACAUGCAAGUCGAACGGCAGCACGGGUGCUUGCACCUGGUGGCGAGUGGCGAACGGGUGAGUAAUACAUCGGAACGUACCUUAUCGUGGGGGAUAACGCAGCGAAAGUUGCGCUAAUACCGCAUACGCCCUGAGGGGGAAAGCGGGGGACCGUAAGGCCUCGCGCGAUUAGAGCGGCCGAUGUCUGAUUAGCUUGUUGGUGAGGUAAAAGCUCACCAAGGCGAUGAUCAGUAGCUGGUCUGAGAGGACGAUCAGCCACACUGGGACUGAGACACGGCCCAGACUCCUACGGGAGGCAGCAGUGGGGAAUUUUGGACAAUGGGGGCAACCCUGAUCCAGCAAUGCCGCGUGAGUGAAGAAGGCCUUCGGGUUGUAAAGCUCUUUUGUCAGGGAAGAAACAGCAGCUCUAACACAGACUGCGAAUGACGGUACCUGAAGAAUAAGCACCGGCUAACUACGUGCCAGCAGCCGCGGUAAUACGUAGGGUGCGAGCGUUAAUCGGAAUUACUGGGCGUAAAGCGUGCGCAGGCGGUUAUACAAGACAGGCGUGAAAUCCCCGGGCUUAACCUGGGAAUGGCGUCUGUGACUGUAUAGCUAGAGUGUGUCAGAGGGGGGUGGAAUUCCACGUGUAGCAGUGAAAUGCGUAGAUAUGUGGAGGAACACCAAUGGCGAAGGCAGCCCCCUGGGAUAACAC
rnacentral:rRNA from 1 species